UACGGGGGGGGCUAGCGUUGUUCGGAAUUACUGGGCGUAAAGGGCGCGUAGGCGGCCUACUAAGUCGGACGUGAAAUCCCUCGGACUCAACCGGGGAACUGCGUCCGAUACUGGUGGGCUCGAAUCCGGGAGAGGGAUGUGGAAUUCCAGGUGUAGCGGUGAAAUGCGUAGAUAUCUGGAGGAACACCGGUGGCGAAGGCGGCAUCCUGGACCGGUAUUGACGCUGAUGCGCGAAAGCCAGGGGAGCAAACGGG
rnacentral:rRNA from 1 species